ensembl:lncRNA
GUUACAGUUGCCGUACUUCAUCAACUAGCUAGCACUACAGAAGAGGAGCAAGAAAAUCAGAGUGAUGAUCAUGGAGAUAAUGGAGACUAGAAAUGAGCUGCAAAGAUGCGGUGGGAAAUGCGGGAUGGACAAUAAUAAAGAGAGACGACUCCUUCAGCUGCUUUUCCUCAGCUUUGGUGUGCUGUGCAUCAUACAAGCCACUCUCAAUCUUGCUUUACGCCUCACAUUCGAGGGGAAUGACUCACCCCACACAACAGAAUUAUGUGGCAACAACCAGUUAAAACCAGUAAAUUUUGACCAAAAUAGGCCACGUUGUUGUAGCGAACUACAAGAAACAAUCAUUGCUUUGACCAGAGACAGAAGCAUGCUUGAAAAGAGAAAUGAAGAGCUCCUUGACAUCAUAAAGAGUCUUGAGGAGGAGAAGAAGAGGCAGAAUGGUUUCAUCUCAUAGUAUAAUUAGAAAAAUGGCGCCAUGCCUGGAAUUAAAUCUGCCUGUGGUUUCUUCUUGUUAAUUUCCUGUCUCUUGUUUAAGUGCUUGCUCAUAUGAAACAGUUGGGUUUCUCUCUAAAAUGGUUUUGGUAUUAUUUCAACAAAGUUUAUUAUUAUUAUUAUUAUUAUUGUUAUUAUUAUUAUUAUUAUUAUUAUUAUUAUUGUUGUUGUUGUUGUAAUUAUUAUCAUUAUUAUUAUUAUUGUUGUUAGUCCAUAAACUGAAUCAAGCUAAUCGUCCCACAUUUUUGUCUUUUGCAGUUAAGGAUUGUGAUUGUAUUACAGUUUGGAUAUCUGUUUGGGUUUUUUAAAAAUUAAUUUUUUUAAUUUUUAUUAAUUAAUUAUUAAUUACUCUUUGAAAUAUUUAUGUCCUUAUUAUUCUGAAAGUGAAUUUCUUGUUAAAUUGAGUUGUUCAUGUCUGUUUUUAUUUCAUGGUUUUCAUUAUAAUUUCUGCUUUACCAGCCAUCAUUUCUACCAAAGUGAGCUGUAUUUUUCUUUUUUCUUUAUGAAGGUUUGUUAAAUUUCAUACUAGUUUCUUGCACAUUUGUCUCCUCAUGGUUUUCGGACUUUUGGAUUUGUUUCUCAUUUGCUUCUUGGACUUUCUUAAGCCCUGAAUUUCUACAUUAACCUCAAAAAAGGGCUUGCUUUUUGCUAGUAAGUCUGCCAUCUGUGUCCUGCUUUUGGGUCCUAACCUUUGCACACCACGCGACCUAACAAACCAAUGUUUUCAUGCAGUUUAGAACACUGAAUAUUUUCACAUUUUUUUCUAAUUUUCCAGCACAUUAGACCUUACAGUGUCUUCCUACACCAGCACUAGAAGUCUCUGAAGUCAAAGAUAUGAUAAAUAGAAUAGAAAAUUUAUAUUUAUAUAAAUGUAUCUUUGUAGUACAGUCAAUUUCAUUGACAAAUUGCAUUUGUACCUAAAGCUUCUCCAAAGCACAUCUCAACACAUUAUUGUGUAGGCUGUGAUUGGUUGUUCGUCACUUUCACAGAGCUGAGCAGUGGAGCAUAAUGUCAGCAGUCUCCUUAUCAUUGGAGGAAAGUCAUAUCUAGAUGCUUUUCCCUUUCUACUGGGAAGAAAAUGGCAGAAAGCAGAAAGUCUUGUGAGAGUGAAGAAGGUAACCUGGUUUUGAUCAACAGUUAACAGAGAACAAGUACAAUAGGAACUGUUAAAGAAAGAGUUACAUCAACAAAUCGUACAUUUGUAAUGUUGCUAAAACAUGAAUUCAAGUCAUGUAUUUCACCAGAUCUCAGAAGAAAAUACAUCUACUUCACUAUAUUUAUUUGACAGCAAAUGUUACAAAUUCACAUUUUGCACAUAAACAACAGUCAUCAAAUGAUGUGAUGUUGUGUUCUACUGAAACACUUAUUGGAUUGCUCAGUAUGUCAGAAAAUUGGCAACUAUUUGGAUUUGAA